GCCAGAAUGCACCAGGCACAGUCUGAACCGUGGAAAGCCUGCAGCUCACUUGCUCUGCGUCCCUGCACCAAAGGCCUUCAACCAUGGUCACUUUCACAGCUGACACCCUGCAGCACUUACCCGAGUCGACUGCUUGUCAAAUGUGUCAGGCCUUCGAGUGAUGACCGAGAAUAGAUUCAGUGUGAUCCAGAGGAUGUGAAAACAGUGCCCAAUCCGACCCCAGGCGAGUUGGGGGUGCUUUCCUUCAGCGCACUGGCCUUGAGUCCAUUUCCUAUUACCUGCAAUGCCGAGCAGUAAGGUUGGUUCUGAAUCAAAAUCAGAUUCCCCGGGGGUUCAGCACGAUGCUGGAAGGUCCUUACUCCCUCCCGAAAGGCUGCCUGGGAAACAGUCUUUAAAUCAUCCUUGCAGAGUCGGGAGACACCCUGUCCUGUGGGGAUUUACUUUAGCAAUCCCACCAUCUCAUCCCAUCCUUCAUCCUUCCCCGUGCAGAGAGCCAUGUGCUGAAAAACAGAGUCUUAGUUCUGACUUUAAAAAUCGUCACAUAAGAUAUUUCUCUUACGAUGUUGGACCAGCUCUCCAUCACACAUUCCAUCCCGGAGGAGACAGUUGAGGAGAAGUUUGUCUCCCC
rnacentral:lncRNA from 1 species